rnacentral:rRNA from 1 species
AACGAACGCUGGCGGCAGGCUUAACACAUGCAAGUCGAGCGCCCCGCAAGGGGAGCGGCAGACGGGUGAGUAACGCGUGGGAAUCUACCCAUCUCUACGGAAUAACGCAUGGAAACGUGUGCUAAUACCGUAUACGUCCUUCGGGAGAAAGAUUUAUCGGAGAUGGAUGAGCCCGCGUUGGAUUAGCUAGUUGGUGGGGUAAAGGCCUACCAAGGCGACGAUCCAUAGCUGGUCUGAGAGGAUGAUCAGCCACACUGGGACUGAGACACGGCCCAGACUCCAACGGGAGGCAGCAGUGGGGAAUAUUGGAAAAUGGGGGAAGGCCUGAUCCAGCCAUGCCGCGUGGGUGAUGAAGGCCCUAGGGUUGUAAAGCUCUUUCACCGGGGAAGAUAAUGACGGUAACCGGAAAAGAAGCCCCGGCUAACUUCGGCCCAGCAGCCGCCGCCGUAA